UCUCCCCCCACGCACACAUAGACCUCCAUGGAGACGUGGCUGACUGGUACACUCAUCAAAGUUGAGUCCACAGCGGUCUCCAGGGAAUCCAGGUGAACGCAAUUUCUUUAAAAGAGAACCUUGAGAUGAAAAGAUCAUCCCGGAUUAUCUACUUUGGCCCGAUGAAAUCACAAGGAAGAAGCAAGUUACAAAGCCAAUGAAGGGUUUGGCUCAAGAGCAUUCCAGCCAAACUUAGCUUAUCAAGGAAGUUAUAAAUCCCCCACUAAAGAGCCUUUUCGUACCGCUUCAGCCUAGACUACUCCAUCCACCGCUCCACCACUGACCUGUUUUUCUAAGUC
rnacentral:lncRNA from 1 species